UCGUGCUGUGGGUCUCCACAGUGCACUCAUGACACAUCUUCUCCAUCUUGACUUCUUGACUUGACUUCUUGGAGCUUCUCUACUGAAUUUAGUAGUGAUCCACCUUAGACCAUGUAGACAAGACCUUCGUUUGAAGAAGGGCAGAAAAUGGAAUGCACUUGGGACCCUAUCACAUCAAGCCUGGAUUACAUAACUUUAGGCUAUUAGGUCCUUAGCUCUGUUGUUCAAACCAUCUACAAAUCAGAGUACUUGAAGAGUCUGUAAAAGAAUAAAGAAGCACACAAGUGAAAGUUUCAGAAAGCAUUACAAAGUGAAGGUAUCAUGUCAUACAAAUUCCACUCGGGGAAGAAGCGGGGUCUCCAGUCAACAGCCCAUGGAGAGUUAAAGCCUACUGAAAAACCAU